rnacentral:rRNA from 1 species
GACGAACGCUGGCGGCGUGCUUAACACAUGCAAGUCGAACGAUGAAGCCGGAGCUUGCUCCGGUGGAUUAGUGGCGAACGGGUGAGUAACACGUGAGCAAUCUGCCCUUGACUCUGGGAUAACUGCGGGAAACUGUAGCUAAUACCGGAUACGACACCUUGGGGCAUCCCAGGGUGUGGAAAGAAUUUCGGUCAAGGAUGAGCUCGCGGCCUAUCAGCUAGUUGGUGAGGUAAUGGCUCACCAAGGCGACGACGGGUAGCCGGCCCGGGAGGGGGACCGGCCACACUGGAACUGAGGCACGGUCCAGACUCCUACGGGAGGCAGCAGUGGGGAAUAUUGCACAAUGGGCGAAAGCCUGAUGCAGCAACGCCGCGUGAGGGAUGAAGGCCUUCGGGUUGUAAACCUCUUUUAGCAGGGAAGAAGCGAAAGUGACGGUACCUGCAGAAAAAGCACCGGCUAACUACGUGCCAGCCGCCGCCGUAA